GUCAAUGUGGCAUAGUGAUUUAAGUGUUGAAGUAUGACUCAAGAGGCCAGGGUUCGAAUCCCUGCUCAGCCA